rnacentral:rRNA from 1 species
UCCGUGGAGGGGGAAAGUUGAAAAGCACUUUGAAGAGAGAGUUAAAGAGGACGUGAAACCGAUGAGAUGGAAACGGACAGAGCUAGCGUAUCUGGCCUGCAUUCAGCUUGUGCGGUCGCUACCGAUGAAUCGCUGAUCUCCAGAUUGGGACUGUUGACUAGUCGGUCGGUGGCUGUAUAGUGCAUUUGCAGGUGGAGUGCGUCGAGGCAUCCGGGAUGGCGGCAUGAACUCAGCUUUGAGGCCAGCUUGCUGGUACCCGGGCUGGGGGACUUUGUGCUGUUCGUUCUGGGUGUUCACACACAAUUGAAGGGGGCUUUGGUAGGGUGCCGAGCUGGGUGUCGGUGGCGGUCGCUUGCGACACGUACUGUGCACACAGUUCGGUCCUUGCCGAGCUCACUCCAUCUAUCUCGGCGUAAAAGCUGGUCAUCUUUCCGACCCGUCUUGAAACACGGACCAAGGAGUUUAUCGUGUGCGCGAGUCAUUGGGCGUC